UACGAAGGGGGCUAGCGUUGCUCGGAAUCAUUGGGCGUAAAGCGUGUGUAGGCGGAUCGUUAAGUGUCUUGUGAAAUCCCACGGCUCACCCGUGGAACUGCUGGGCAUACUGGCGAUCUUGGGCCAACUAGGGGCAGUCGGAACAAGCGGUGGAGCGGUGAAAUGCGUAGAUAUCGCUUGGAACGCCGAAGGUGAAAACAGACUGCUGGGGUUGCGCCGACGCUGAGACACGAAAGCCAGGGGAGCAAACGGG
rnacentral:rRNA from 1 species